UGGGGAAUAUUGCACAAUGGACGGAAGUUUGAUGCAGCGACGCCGCGUGGAGGGUGUAGGCCUUCGGGUUGUGAACUCCUUUUUCUCGCGAAAAAGGCACAGUUUUGGCUGUGUUGAUGGUAGUGGGGGAAGAAGCGCCGGCUAACUACGUGCCAGCAGCCGCGGUAAUACGUAGGGCGCGAGCGUUGUCCGGAUUUAUUGGGCGUAAAGAGCUCGUAGGUGGUUCGUCGCGUCUGUCGUGAAAGCCAGCAGCUUAACUGUUGGUCUGCGGUGGGUACGGGCGGGCUUGAGUGCGGUAGGGGUGACUGGAAUUCCUGGUGUAGCAGUGGAAUGCGCAGAUAUCAGGAGGAACACCGAUGGCGAAGGCAGGUCACUGGGCCGUUACUGACACUGAGGAGCGAAAGCGUGGGGAGCGAACAGG
rnacentral:rRNA from 1 species